CGACAUGCCGAAUCAGACGAUAGAUCCAUCAUUUUUAUGUUGAGCAUUUUCGCGCUCUUUUUUCCUCAGGUAACGUUAUGCCCCUUACUUUUAUAACGUUAAACCACGAUAUUACUGGUAUGUAAUAUCAUGUGUUACUUAAAUGUAAUGUUGUUUUAGCUACAGUAUGUAAAGUUAGACUUAAUCUUUCGUGGUGUAUGUAUGAGGUCCUUUAAUCUUCCUCUAUUUUAGUGAACGCUUGUAUUGCUUUACAUCUAGGAGACCAGUAUAACAAUUUAAUGAAAAUGCACUCUGAUUUAAUUUUUUAACAGUGUGUCGAUUCUGCCCUCCAGAUUGGAGACUAGAUUGACAUAAACUCAAUUCAGUGGUAUGUGAGAUUCUUGCUGGUGCAGAUGGACAAGGAAUGGUGGCUUGACACCCUGGCUGACAUCUUUAAAGAUUUCAGGAGACUUUAGGAAGCUAUAUCCAGAGGCAGACAGAAAACUUUUUGAAGACUGGACUAACGUUACAAUUGUAGACCGAAUUCUUGCCUAUGCCCAGUGAGAUGGAAAGCUGCAUUUAGAGCUGGAUGACAUGACUCCAGAUGCUAAAGGGGAGAGUGCUUUCAAAGUCCUGCCCACUCUGCUUCCCCCAUCAAUAUACAAGAAAGGCGGAGAGGUCUUCAGACCCACAACUACGGAAUCCCGGAAGUCAUUCAUUGACGUCCAACCUGUGGGGACCAACAUGGUGGAAAACUUGCAAAAUGCAGAGACUAGUGAUGCAUUCCUGCACAUUUUGUGCCUUGAGGACAAGACAACGACAUCCCAGACCUUCGUCAUUGUUUCGGGCUAUGCCAUUGAAACGGACUCAUUACUUGAGGCUGUUGACCUUUUUUGUGCUUUAUGUUAACUACAUUAAGCAGUGUCUUCCUACCUGAGAAUUUCUCCAGCAUGCAGUAUAUCAUCAGGGCAACAGUUUUUUUCUGGCCACCUGUAACAUGUUUCAUAUUUUGUGUCACAUGUAUUGUCUGUUGUAGGACUCUUUGUUUGGAUUAGUUUUAAUGACACAAUAUUUGGACUGAUUCUCGUGUGGCAAUAAUACAUUUUUGAAUGUUCUGAUGAUGCAGUGUUGACAAAGAAUAGGAAUCUA